rnacentral:tRNA from 1 species
GGUGUCGUGGCCGAGUGGCUGAAGGCGCACGCUUGGAAAGCGUGUAUACGGUAAUCCCGUAUCGUGGGUUCGAAUCCCACCGACACCGCCA